UUUCCACCACCAUUCCCACGUGUUUGGGUCUCAGCCCUUGGAUCGUGCAUAAACGUUAUAAUCGUGGUCAUCCAAUGUGUUUACUUAUUUUAAUGCAAAGUGUUGCGCGCUUGACUCAAGUGUAUCAUGUAUCCGCGCCUCUAAGCCUUUGAUUCCUUGCCACGUCAAUUAAUGAAAUGAUUUGAUGGCACUGGAUUUUU
rnacentral:lncRNA from 1 species